UUGAGCCUACGGGAGGCAGCAGUGGGGGAUAUUGCACAAUGGGGGAAACCCUGAUGCAGCAACGCCGCGUGAGUGAUGAAGGUCUUCGGAUUGUAAAACUCUGUUCUUGGUGAAGAUAAUGACGGUAGCCAAGGAGAAAGCUCCGGCUAACUACGUGCCAGCAGCCGCGGUAAUACGUAGGGAGCGAGCGUUGUCCGGAUUUACUGGGUGUAAAGGGUGCGCAGGCGGCUCUGCAAGUCAGGCGCGAAAGCUAGGGGAUCAACCCCUAA
rnacentral:rRNA from 1 species